ensembl:snoRNA
CCGGCCUCUAGAGGAGCUGCAGAUGUGGCUGCUGUGUCACAAUCCCGUCAGUAGGUGGCAGAAGGAGGAGAGAGGUUACACUCUGUUCUCACCUAUGAGUGUAUCUAACAUUCUGAUGCUAUCUGAAUGGUUAGAUCAGUAGCCUAACAUU